UUCCUUUGGACCGGAUCCGCAUGAAAGCCUUUAGAUCCGUCUGUAGCGGACAUACGGUAUCUGACUGUGGUCCAGAUCUGCACCUGAUAAGAUUUCAGCUCUGCUAGCAAAGCUGUUUUUUCAUCGAUUUACAGAUUUGUUCCAGGUCCGGUUUCCGCAACUCAACCGGAAGUCAGGAGAUGCGUUUAAAAUACAAAACACUAAUUUGGCCCAAACCUGUGAAACGGAUAUGGGCAGAAGGAGCAGGUGGUAAUUGAACAGAGAAGUCAACUAGCUGGCUGCUGUAGAAUAAAAGUUUUUUGUAAUGGCACAAAUUUAGAAACAUGAGGGUGCACUAUGUGCCCAUGGCCACUUCAUUUCUACACCAAAUUUAAGCUAAUUGGCUCAGUAUAUGUGCCAGUUAGACUUUUCAGUGCUGUUUUUCUACAGUCAGCAGAUUUGGGCCAGAUCCACUUACCACAUCAGAACCAAAGCUUCCAGAAAGACAGUUCCCUGAUGUGGCCCACAUCUGUAAUAUUGACCCAAACCACCUCCAAACUUGUGUGUUCCACUCUGGUUUACUGAACAGAGCCGAACGCGCGAAGUGAGUGAGGUCCGUCCGUUUGAGAGACGUUAUGCUGAUCUGGCCCUCAUCCGUACCACGGAUUAUAGCCAGAAACCGUUGGAAUAGAUCAAAUGAAACUUUUGUGGGGGUGCCCAUGCCAUAUUUCGUUUUUAAAUCCUGAUUUGUUAAAUCUUACAAUGGAACACUUGCACGUAGCCUACACAAAAAUGAUUAAUUCACUAACAAAGUAAUAGGCUUGUCUCAAAAUGGAAGAUUUACCACAUAACAAAAUAAUACAUUAGCAACUGUCCACUAUCCAAGUGCAAUGGUCCAAGCUGUAUUGCCAUCCUGGGAAGAAAAAAAAGUUGCGAACAUCGUGGGAAAAAACGGCACUGGCGCACAUAAUGGAUGGCAACAUGGGUGCAUUUAUAGUCCAUCAUGACAUAAAAAAUCCUCUGCAUGCAACCACGAGGAGAGGGGGAAUUUACUAAGGAGUUUUGUCUAUAUAUUAUAUAAAAUCUACUGUUGGGAAGAGCAGAACCUAAUCCAAAUAAAAAUAAACAAGCUGUUAAAAGCCAGUUGAAGGUGGUCAACACAAACCAAAUGAAGAUGUUGCACAUUUCACAAACAAUAAAAAAGAAGAUCAAGUUUUGUGUCCAACACACUUGGAUGAGACGUGCCCGACCCCUGACUUUGUCUACCCUAC